GCUAUGCUGAAUUCCCUUAGGAAAGCAUUGAUUAAUCCUUUCCUAUAGGGAAAUCCCAAUGUCAGCGCAGCCAUUGCCGCGCAUUAGAUCUCCCCCACCAUCAGCCUGUGAGGGAGAAGCUUAGGCGGAGCCUGACCAAGCACCGAGGGACUUCGGCGCUGGAUUCAGGUAAGUGACUGAAGGGGUUUUAACCCCUUCAGUGCUGCGAU